GACGAACGCUGGCGGCGUGCUUAACACAUGCAGGUCGAACGGAAAGGCCCUUCGGGGUCCUCGAGUGGCGAACGGGUGAGUAACACGUGGGUGAUCUGCCCUGCACUUUGGGAUAAGCCUGGGAAACUGGGUCUAAUACCGAAUAUGAUCAUCGGCUUCAUGGUCGGUGGUGGAAAGCUUUUGCGGUGUGGGAUGGGCCCGCGGCCUAUCAGCUUGUUGGUGGGGUAAUGGCCUACCAAGGCGACGACGGGUAGCCGGCCUGAGAGGGUGACCGGCCACACUGGGACUGAGAUACGGCCCAGACUCCUACGGGAGGCAGCAGUGGGGAAUAUUGCACAAUGGGCGCAAGCCUGAUGCAGCGACGCCGCGUGAGGGAUGACGGCCUUCGGGUUGUAAACCUCUUUCAGCACAGACGAAGCGCAAGUGACGGUAUGUGCAGAAGAAGGACCGGCCAACUACGUG
rnacentral:rRNA from 1 species